CGCGUAGACGGUUUUGUAAGUCAGAUGUGAAAUCCCCGGGCUCAACCUGGGAACUGCAUUUGAAACUGCAUGGCUAGAGUAUGGUAGAGGGAAGUGGAAUUUCUGGUGUAGCGGUGAAAUGCGUAGAUAUCGGAAGGAACACCAGUGGCGAAAGCGACUUCCUGGACCAAUACUGACGUUCAUGUGCGAAAGCGUGGGGAGCAAACAGGAUUAGAUACCCUGGUAGUCCACGCCAUAAACGAUGACAACUAGAUGUUGGGAGGGUCUGCCUCUCGGUGUCGCAGCUAACGCGUUAAGUUGUCCGCCUGGGGAGUACGGCCGCAAGGUUGAA
rnacentral:rRNA from 1 species